rnacentral:rRNA from 1 species
CGGAGGAUCCAAGCGUUAUCCGGAUUUAUUGGGUUUAAAGGGUGCGUAGGUGGUUCUUUAAGUCAGGGGUGAAAGACGGCAGCUUAACUGUCGCAGUGCCUUUGAUACUGAAGAACUUGAAUGAACUAGAGGUAGGCGGAAUGUGACAAGUAGCGGUGAAAUGCAUAGAUAUGUCACAGAACACCAAUUGCGAAGGCAGCUUACUAUGGUUUGAUUGACACUGAGGCACGAAAGCGUGGGGAUCAAACAGGAUU